CGCGCAGGUGGUUGAUUAAGUCUGAUGUGAAAGCCCACGGCUUAACCGUGGAGGGUCAUUGGAAACUGGUCAACUUGAGUGCAGAAGAGGGAAGUGGAAUUCCAUGUGUAGCGGUGAAAUGCGUAGAGAUAUGGAGGAACACCAGUGGCGAAGGCGGCUUCCUGGUCUGUAACUGACACUGAGGCGCGAAAGCGUGGGGAGCAAACA
rnacentral:rRNA from 2 species